rnacentral:sRNA from 1 species
ACUCAUUGUGUCUGUGUCGAGGCGUCGGGAGGGCCUAAGUCCGUGUGCGGUGCCCUUCGGCCGGCCUGAGCCCCAGAGUCAGCUCCCCUUUCUCGCCCAGCGCCCCCAGGCCGCUCCCGGGGCUCACGGAGUAGUAAAGAAACACAUCAUAAAACCUCCCAGGACAUAAAGGUGAGCACAGACCCUGUUUGGAUCAAGUCAGUUCCUGGAGCCUGAAUGAUGACUGCUGAAUCACGGGAAGCCACGGGUCUGUCCCCGCAGGCUGCACAGGAGAAGGAUGGUAUCGUAAUAGUGAAGGUGGAAGAGGAAGAUGAGGAAGACCACAUGUGGGGGCAGGAUUCCACCCUACAGGACACGCCUCCUGCAGACCCAGAGAUAUUCCGCCAACGCUUCAGGCGCUUCUGUUACCAGAACACUUUUGGGCCCCGAGAGGCUCUCAGUCGGCUGAAGGAACUUUGUCAUCAGUGGCUGCGGCCAGAAAUAAACACCAAGGAACAGAUCCUGGAGCUUCUGGUGCUAGAGCAGUUUCUUUCCAUCCUGCCCAAGGAGCUCCAGGUCUGGCUGCAGGAAUACCGCCCCGAUAGUGGAGAGGAGGCCGUGACCCUUCUAGAAGACUUGGAGCUUGAUUUAUCAGGACAACAGGUCCCAGGUCAAGUUCAUGGACCUGAGAUGCUCGCAAGGGGGAUGGUGCCUCUGGAUCCAGUUCAGGAGUCCUCGAGCUUUGACCUUCAUCACGAGGCCACCCAGUCCCACUUCAAACAUUCGUCUCGGAAACCCCGCCUCUUACAGUCACGAGGUAAGAAGCAAGGUUUCAUUUAGGGGAAGGGAAAUGAUUCAGGACGAGAGUCUUUGUGCUGCUGAGUGCCUGUGAUGAAGAAGCAUGUUAGGCCUGGGCAACAUAGCGAGACCCCAUCUCUACAAAAAAUAGAAAAAUUAGCCAGGUAUAGUGGCGCACACCUGUGAUUCCAGCUACGCAGGAGGCUGAGGUGGGAGGAUUGCUUGAGCCCAGGAGGUUGAGGCUGCAGUGAGCUGUAAUCAUGCCACUACUCCAACCUGGACAACACAGCAAGGACCCUGUCUCAAAAGCUACUUACAGAAAAGAAUUAGGCUCGGCACGGUAGCUCACACCUGUAAUCCCAGCACUUUGGGAGGCUGAGGUGGGCAGAUCACUUGAGGUCAGGAGUUUGAGACCAGCCUGGCCAACAUGGUGAAACCUUGUCUCUACUAAAAAUAUGAAAAUUAGCCAGGCAUGGUGGCACAUGCCUGUAAUCCCAGCUACUCAGGAGGCUGAGGCAGGAGAAUCACUUGAACCCAGGAGGUGGAGGUUGCAGUAAGCCGAGAUCGUACCACUGCGCUCUAGCCUUGGUGACAGAGCGAGACUGUCUUUAAAAAAAAAAAAAAGAAUUAAUUAAAAAUUUUUAAAAAAUGAAAAAAAGCUGCA